UUCUGCUUCGACCUCACGCAGCGCGCGCGGGACGAGAAGAUCGACCCGAUCAUCGGCAGGGACGAGGAGGUUGAGCGCGUGAUUCAGAUUCUCGCCAGGCGCUCCAAGAACAACCCGAUCCUCCUCGGCGAACCCGGCGUCGGAAAGACGGCCAUCGCGGAGGGCCUCGCGCUGCGAAUCGUCUCCGGUAACGUCCCGGAGUUCCUCCGCGAGAAGCGCGUGCUAUCCCUGGACGUCGGCCUGCUCAUGGCGGGCGCGAAGGAGCGCGGCGAGCUCGAGUCGAGGGUCACCGGCCUCAUCAAGGAGAUUCAGGACAAGAAGGACGUCGUGCUCAUGAUCGACGAGGUUCACACGCUCAUCGGCGCCGGCGCCGUGGGUAAGGGCGGCGGCGGCGGCAUGGACAUCAGCAACAUGCUCAAGCCCCCCUUGGCGCGUGGCGAGCUCCAGUGCAUCGGCGCCACCAC
rnacentral:lncRNA from 1 species